rnacentral:lncRNA from 1 species
CGACCUUGCCUCUUGAUCUUCACCAGCUCUCUUGAACCUCCCCACCCUACUGCUCUUUGUCGCAAGUUUCUGAGCUCAAGCGAGCAAGUGUUGCUGUUGAAAUAACCGUCUAUGCUAACUCUUGCAUUGCAUUCGUGUAGAGCUGCGCCUCGCCGACGGCUUCUACGAGCUACACCCGGCGCCAGAAGACGAAGCUGUAGCUGAGCUCCUGCCCGCUGAAGCCGAAGUCGCCCCCGAAGUCGAG